rnacentral:rRNA from 1 species
CGAACGCUGGCGGCAGGCUUAACACAUGCAAGUCGAGCGCCCCGCAAGGGGAGCGGCAGACGGGUGAGUAACGCGUGGGAAUCUACCUAUCUCUACGGAACAACUCCGGGAAACUGGAGCUAAUACCGUAUACGCCCUUUGGGGGAAAGAUUUAUCGGGGAUAGAUGAGCCCGCGUUGGAUUAGCUAGUUGGUGGGGUAAUGGCCUACCAAGGCAACGAUCCAUAGCUGGUCUGAGAGGAUGAUCAGCCACACUGGGACUGAGACACGGCCCAGACUCCUACGGGAGGCAGCAGUGGGGAAUAUUGGACAAUGGGCGCAAGCCUGAUCCAGCCAUGCCGCGUGAGUGAUGAAGGCCCUAGGGUUGUAAAGCUCUUUCACCGGUGAAGAUAAUGACGGUAACCGGAGAAGAAGCCCCGGCUAACUUCGU